UACCUUUUCUGUUCCAAAUGCAUAAGUUAUUUGCAUUGAGACAAGAAUAUAUAUUGCAAGAAUUUUACUGAGUUUCAUCCAUUCUAAUUCAAUAUCGUAUUAAAUCCACCUCUUUAUUCAUCUUUUUUAUCAUAUGAAUUGAUUUUUGCGUGAAGAUGCUUGGACGUUUGGCAAAUAUAUCUAUGCCUAGUGGUAAGCUGCUAUUGAUGUUGUUCAUUUUCAUCAUCAUGUGCGAAAUGCCGCCCUAUCAUCGAGCAAAUGGGAAGGUGAAGGAAAGGAAGUGAAACUUUCAAAUAUAUACAUCAAAGGAUGAUGAAUGGCUUUAAUAAUAAUAUUAUUUCCAUCGAGUAAUUCAGAUUUUUUGAAAAAUGUAGUGUUAGUAUGCGAUAGGUCUUGCAAGACUUGGAAAUACAUUGUAAUUUGUAAUGAAGGAUCAAUAAAAGAUUAAUAAAGAA